UCUAUGAUUUAGAACACAGCUACGAUUGGCUAAAAGUCGUUUCACUGUGGACCGUAAACAAAAUCAUUUUUGACAAGCGCUAAGUAAAUAAUUUAUUUUUAUGUGUGUGACUGUGUGUACUGUGUAGGUAUCACUUCGUCGGAUAGUGAGUUAAAUUGUUUACGUAUGUACAUAUUUAGAUAAUUAUUUUUGUUUUUAAAAUGGUACAAGCAUGGUACAUGGAUAGUGAAACAACGGACCAGCGGCUGCAACACCAUAAAAAUCCUCCAGAAUAUAUUUCCCUGGAUGAUUUAUUCUCUAAAACGGGGGUUGAAUAUUUUAAAAUAAACAUAGACACAUAUAAAACUGAUGGAGUACUAGAAAAACUUAAGAAUGAACGAGGUUACACAUAUGAAGAUGAGAUGGUCUGUUCCAAGGAAUGUCUUCCGAAUUAUGAGGAGAAGAUAAAAUCGUUUUACACUGAGCACUUGCAUACGGAUGAGGAAAUUAGGUUUAUCCUAGACGGCUCUGGUUACUUUGACGUGAGAGAUGGUGAGGAUCAAUGGAUCCGUAUUGCCGUGUCUAAGGGAGACAUGCUGGUCAUCCCGAGCGGUAUCUACCACAGGUUUACCUUGGACACCAAUGUAUGUAUUCUAGCAAAACUGUCGGUUUCAAACUCUGCUCAGGAAUAAUAUCAAAGAGACAAGAGAGUCUAUUAAGAAACUAGUCUAAUUUGGUCAUUGAGACAUGCUGUGAUGCACACAUGUUGAUGUUAUGAUGUCUACGGGCACAGUAACCACUCAUAAUCAGGUGGGCCGAAAGCACAACUACAGGAAAGUAAUGUAAGAAAAUUAUUGCAAUCUUAAGGAAAUCUAUUUAAUAACAGUAUCAAAUUAAUUUUACAGAACUACAUAAAAGCGAAACGUUUCUUCAUUGGUGAGCCGGUUUGGUUGCCUUACAACAGGCCGGCCGAUGAGAUGCCUUGCCGGAAGGACUACGUUGAGAAACUACAGAAUGGAUUCUCAGUGGCCGCAUAAUGUAACAAAAUUAUCAUUUUUUUUCCAGAGAAUAUAUUACAUACUAGUUGACCCGGCAGACUCCAUAGUGCCUUAAUCCAUAAAUAAAAGACCUAAACUUUAUUUAAUUCCGAGCAUCUUCAUAUUUAUCUACCUUUUAAACCUUCUCUGGACUCCCACAAAUAAUUCAAGACCAAAAUUAGCCAAAUCGGUCCAGCCGUUCUCGAGUUUUAGCGAGACUAACGAACAGCAAUUCAUUUUUAUAUAUAUAGAUUACCGUUUAUAUAUUUUUCAAAUAAACGUAUUCGUUAUCAUAAUGUGUUUUUUGCUUGAUAUUGUAUAAUGUAAAUAAUAUGAAGUUAUAAGUAUUUAAAUAUUAUGUUAAUUAAAAAACAGUGGGAAUCAACAUAGAAAACAAAAUUUGGAAAUAUCAGAAACUGUUUACACAUAUUGUGCCAUAGAGUUAGAGAAUAUAAAAUAUUAUCUGUUACAA